AGGACGAACGCUGGCGGCGUGCUUAACACAUGCAAGUCGAGCGGAAAGGCCCUUUCGGGGGUACUCGAGCGGCGAACGGGUGAGUAACACGUGAGUAACCUGCCCUUGGCUUUGGGAUAACCCUCGGAAACGGGGGCUAAUACCGAAUAUUCACUGCUCCUCGCAUGGGGGGUGGUGGAAAGAUUUUUUGGCUGGGGAUGGGCUCGCGGCCUAUCAGCUUGUUGGUGGGGUGAUGGCCUACCAAGGCGACGACGGGUA
rnacentral:rRNA from 1 species